GCAUAUCAAUAAGCGGAGGAAAAAGAAACCAACAGGGAUUGCCCUAGUAACGGCGAGUGAAGCGGCAACAGCUCAAAUUUGAAAGCUGGCUCCGGCCCGCGUUGUAAUUUGCAGAGGAUGCUUCUGGCGAGGUGCCUUCCGAGUUCCCUGGAACGGGACGCCAUAGAGGGUGAGAGCCCCGUAUGGAUGGACACCAAACCUGUGUGAAGCUCCUUCAACGAGUCGAGUAGUUUGGGAAUGCUGCUCUAAAUGGGAGGUAAAUCUCUUCUAAAGCUAAAUACCGGCCAGAGACCGAUAGCGCACAAGUAGAGUGAUCGAAAGAUGAAAAGCACCUUGAAAAGGGGGUUAAACAGUACGUGAAAUUGUUGAAAGGGAAGCGCUUGUGACCAGACUUGCGCCGGGCAGCUCAUCAGGGGUUCUCCCCUGUGCACUCUGCCCGGCUCAGGCCAGCAUCGGUUCUCGUGGGAGGAUAAGAACGGUAGGAACGUGGCCCCCCUCCGGGGGGGUGUUAUAGCCUGCCGUACGAUACUCCCGUGGGGACCGAGGUUCGCGCUCCGCAAGGAUGCUGGCGUAAUGGUCAUCAGCGACCCGUCUUGAAACACGGACCAAGGAGUCGUCCAUUAGAGCGAGCGUUUGGGUGUAAAACCCGCACGCGUAAUGAAAGUGAACGCAGGUGAGAGCUUCGGCGCAUCAUCGACCGAUCCUGAUGUCUUCGGAUGGAUUUGAGUAAGAGUUUUAACGGACGGACCCGAAAGACAGUGAACUAUGCUUGUAUAGGGUGAAGCCAGAGGAAACUCUGGUGGAGGCUCGCAGCGGUUCUGACGUGCAAAUCGAUCGUCAAAUAUGAGCAUGGGGGCGAAAGACUAAUCGAACUGUCUAGUAGCUGGUUUACCGCCGA
rnacentral:rRNA from 1 species